rnacentral:tRNA from 1 species
GUUCUUGUAGUUGAACUACAACUGUUGUUCUUCAAGUCAUUGGUCUCGGUUUAAAUUCGAUCAAUAAUU